ACGAACGCCCUUCUUUCAGUCGGCUUGGCUAUUGACAAUAUUGGUUGUCCCUUUGAAAUUUAGACUUUAGUUUUGCAUUUUGUACUUUGUAAUAGAAGUUUGCAUUCUCGUGAAUUUUCGAUUUAUUAGCUAAUAAUAACAUUUUUUAUUACAUUUGAAUUUAGUAUUACUGUUCACUCAGUAAAAGGAACGAUCUACUACGAUCUAGCUCAAUUCAUGGUGCAGCACUACAAGCAGGGAUUAGAAGAGCAAAAAAAAAUUGAAGACUGUAUUCACAAUGGUUACGAAGAACAAAUGUUUUUUUUUGUAUUAUCUUAAAGAUUAAUUUUUUGUUUUGUUUUUUAGACAUAUACAUGUUUUGUCUUAUAUUUUUUAUUUUCAUAACCAAUAUGUUUUCAGUUUUUUUACAAUUUAUAAAUAAAAAGUUAUUUUUUC